UAGGGAAUCUUCGGCAAUGGACGAAAGUCUGACCGAGCAACGCCGCGUGAAUGAAGAAGGCUUUCGGGUCGUAAAAUUCUGUUAUAAGGGAAGAAAGGCUCUAGGAGGAAAUGACUAGGGAGUGACGGUACCUUGUGAGAAAGCCACGGCUAACUACGUGCCAGCAGCCGCGGUAAUACGUAGGUGGCAAGCGUUAUCCGGAAUUAUUGGGCGUAAAGAGCGCGCAGGUGGUUAAAAAAGUCUGAUGUGAAAGCCCACGGCUUAACCGUGGAGGGUCAUUGGAAACUGAUUAACUUGAGUGCAGAAGAGGGAAGUGGAAUUCCAUGUGUAGCGGUGAAAUGCGUAGAGAUAUGGAGGAACACCAGUGGCGAAGGCGGCUUCCUGGUCUGUAACUGACACUGAGGCGCGAAAGCGUGGGGAGCAAACAG
rnacentral:rRNA from 1 species